GGGGGGUAGAAUUCCAGGUGUAGCGGUGAAAUGCGUAGAGAUCUGGAGGAAUACCGGUGGCGAAGGCGGCCCCCUGGACGAAGACUGACGCUCAGGUGCGAAAGCGUGGGGAGCAAACAGGAUUAGAUACCCUGGUAGUCCACGCCGUAAACGAUGUCGACUUGGAGGUUGUGCCCUUGAGGCGUGGCUUCCGGAGCUAACGCGUUAAGUCGACCGCCUGGGGAGUACGGCCGCAAGGUUAAAACUCAAAUGAAUUGACGGGGGCCCGCACAAGCGGUGGAGCAUGUGGUUUAAUUCGAUGCAACGCGAAGAACC
rnacentral:rRNA from 1 species